rnacentral:lncRNA from 1 species
GGAUCAUCAUGAGGAUGAUGAUAGAUCCGGAUAGACUGGCAUAAAAUCACUUCUUUUGAGAUAGAUGAGUCUCUAGUCUACUGUGUAGAGAUACAGGACGACGAGUGUGGGUAGUUAUUAGAGAACAAUUAGUACUGAGCAUGACCAUACGAGAGAUCACUUGGAUUUCUAUUCGAUCGUCAGUGACUGUCUCGAUGCUGUAGUUGUGUGACUGAUCCUUUGACUUGAGAUGGUGCUACUACUCAUUGAGAUUGCUAGAAUUUGACUAACACAUAAACAUGGGUCUCAAUAAGCUCUUGUAGUAGAUGUUGGCAACAGUUGGUCCACUGUAGAGGUAGGGUGCGCAUCAAGAUAGGAUCUACUGACCUUGAUAGAGAGGAGUAGUCCUAUGAGAUUUGAGAGGCUAAGUUC